UUCUCCUCUUACGACGACAUGAGCCUGAAGCGGAGGGUCACCUGUCCGCUGGUCCGCUCCAAGUCGUUCCACCUGUCCUCCACAGAAGUAGGUCCAGAUGACUUGUACAUUGUAGAACCUCUAAGGUUUUCUCCAGAGAAAAAGAAAAAACGCUGCAAGACAAAGUCACUGGACAAGGUUGAGAGUGUGAAGGCGUCCGAUCCCUCUGCUCCGCUCACAAACGGCGGCCCCAAGUGUAACGG